rnacentral:rRNA from 1 species
GACGAACGCUGGCGGCGUGCCUAAUACAUGCAAGUCGAACGCAGUUGGGACGGGUGUGUAACACGUGGGUAACCUCCCAUCAGAGGGGAUAACACUUGGAAACAGGUGCUAAACCGAUACUGAUGGAUGGACCCGCGGUGCAUUAGCUAGUUGGUGAGGUAACGGCUCACCAAGGCCACGAUGCAUAGCAGACGCGCGGAAGUGAUAGGACACAGGGGGACAGAGACACGGCACAGACGCCUACGGAAGGAAGGAGUAGGGAAUCGUCGGCAAUGGACGAAAGUCUGACCGAGCAACGCCGCGUGAUUGAAGAAGGUUUUCGGAUCGUAAAACUCUGAUGUUAGAGAAGCGGUAUCUAGCCAGAAAGCCACGGCUAACUACGUGCCAGCAGCCGCGGUGAUUC